GGCUGGAGCAUCAUUUCCCUCUGGACGUGUGACCCACAGACGUUCAUUACGCUUCAAUCUGCAUCACCUGAGCCAGUGCUGAGGCGGACUCCACCCAGACAGCCGGAGGGAUGUGGGUUCCAGACUGUUAUCUCUGCACAGGCCUGAAUGAGGUCACUGGACUGAAAGCCGUCAUAAACCAUGGUGUGAUUGAACACUGGGCUGACAGAACCACGGACCACACGAGUCUGCUGACCGCUGACACCACUCUCAUCUGGGUUUUUCUCACCUGGAAUCGAAGAAAGUGCCGUCCAGCAGAGAGCCGUUAUAAUGAUAACGCAUGAAGUCUCCAACUUGACUCUUGCGUGGACAAGGAUCUGGAAGGUAUUCUACCUUUACUGCGAUUUCAUCUUUGGGGUUAUGAAGGUCCAGCAGAACCACAUCGAACACCAGAGAAGCCUGAGCGGGGAUGUCACUUCCUGUAUGAGGAGAUAACUCCCAGGAAAGGUGGCAAGGUGAUGAUGCGUUUUUCUCCCACACACAUUCCUAGAAGCCCCUGGUCCAUUCCUGCAAUCAGCCAGCCAAUGCCCACGUCCACACAAAUGAUCUCACCUGGAGUCGAACAGCGUGCCAUCAAGCAGAGUGCCAUUGUAGUGGUAGCGGAUAUAAUCAGACACUUGUACUUUUCGCUCACAGCUCUCCGGCAUGUGGUAGGUCUUUAUCUGCACCUUGUCUUCUUUGUUCCAAAUAUCCAACAUCAGCACAUCAAAGUGAAGGAUGGAGUCUGGAGGGAUGAUGUCACCUGAUGGGAAAUGACAUAAAACUACUGUGUGAGGGGAAAAAAAUAAUACAAACCUGCUUGGCAGCUCUAGCACCUGCCCAUCUAGAACCACAAUAAAUGCUGUGGUCUUUGUGUUUAC
rnacentral:lncRNA from 1 species